GGGGGUUCAUCUGAAUUGGAGGAGGACGCGUUCAACCUCUCAUCACCCAUCCUCUUCUGCUUCUCAAACAUCAUUUGCAGGUACCUCCCUUGUUCUUCAAUUCGCAACUGCAAAUUUCUUUGUAUCUGAAUUGUUCAUGGAGCCGUUUCUGAACUUCCAUCUGCAUUCGCAAUGCUUCAGUAAUCCCCAUACUCCUGUUUUCAAAAUCAGAGGAACAGCGUUCUGUUUCAAGUCUUCAGCAUAAGAAACACAAAAUAAAACUUUACAAUGUAACUUUAUAUACAAGGGCUAGAAAUCCCUGCCAAGAAUGUAUUAUACCAGCUAAAAAAAACACACCCGAAAAAAGAAAAAAAAAAAAAAGGGUAGAAGAAGAAGAGGAAAAAUGCAUUAUUUUUCACCUAGCCAAACAAGCAGAAAUAACUUCGAAAGUAAUACUAUAUAUAAAUGGAUUUUCCACCAGAUAUUCUUACCAUCAGACACAAAGGUAGUGGGAUCCACAACAACAAAAACAUAUAGGACCCAUGCCUCUGUGUCCAGGGGCUAAGAAAAUCAAGUAAGAAAUUUGUUAAUGUAUAGCAUUUUCCAAACUUUAUUACAAGAAGCAACUUUAACUUAAAACAGAUGCCGAAAGACAGAAACCAAAAUGCUUAUAGCAAGAAAGUUGAUAUCCAAGAACUAGUACACAAAAGAAUCAAGAAUUCCGAAAAUGGAUGACAGAAUUUAGCAAGAAUGUAACAAGUCUACACUUCUAAUUCUUUCGAUGAUUAUAAAGAGUUUCUUGACAUCAAUGGAUCUCCUAACAAAAAAAUUACAUUGACCAAAAGGGUUGGCAAUGAAGUGGCUUUUGGUGAGAGCAACCUCAAAUUUAACUCCACUCAAAAAAACUAAAAAAAAAAAAAAGGGCCAGCCUCAACAUGAGCCAGCCUCUAAUUCAAACUAUACCAAAUCCAUACCUAAUGUCAUUUAGGUGCAAGUUACCAAUCUAAUGUCACAAAAUAAGAUUUUUAGAAGCCACCAAUUGCUUCCUCACGUAGUUUAUGAAAUUUCUUUAAACCUUUUCCAAAAUGACUGUCAGAAAAUAGAAGACAUAAAUCACUAAACAUUUUUAAUGAGAAAGAGUAAAAGGUCUCACUUUCAAGGCCAAGUUACUUAUCGAUCAUAGUUACAGAGAAGCAACAUACUGUAAACUAGAAAUUGAGCUUGCCAACUUUUGAAACAUGUACAGCAUGAAGUAGUUCCUCUGAAGCAAAAGGGGGUAAAGAAUGACAUACAGAUUUCACUAUGAUGUUAUCUGAGAAACUUUCCAGGUAAGGAAAGAUGUAUAAACAAACUUACGUUUUCAAAUCCAAAGAUGUAAUGUCCUCAACAGGAGUUGACUUUUUCUCUGAA